rnacentral:lncRNA from 1 species
AACAGGGAGAAAGAGGAUGACUUAAUAUCUUAUUUAUUAUAGCGACGAAGAACUCCAACUCAAAAGUUAAGGUGCGAACCGACCCCCAGUGAAAUGGACCAGACGACCACAGUGAAAUGCAAUCAAAGAAAAACAGUUGGAUGCCGAACGCAUCACUUGAAGACAGAGUAGAAGCCCUCUUAUAUUCUCAUUUAUUUAUAAAAGCUGCGUCGAAUUCUCAAAACUUAAAUCGUGUGACGAUGUCCACACUUUAAGGACUAGUAUCCGUUUGCUUGAUGCUCUGGUAGGGGAAGCCGUUCGUGCAUUCCACGCUGCUCCUGAGAACGGCGUCGGGAUUUCCAUUGCAUCCACGGUUACCCCUGUAGAGGUAGGCGGGCCAGCCAUCGUUGUAGUAGAAACGGUAGCUUCCGGUGUAGGUGACGUUGCAGCACUGGCGAUCCCAGCAAGGCGUCCACUGUCCGGUGCAGCCGGGGCCUUCGUACAUGUUCAACUGGCUGGCCUCCGCUGGUGAGGCAUAGAAAACAAGCAGCAUAGCCAUGGCGGCUGUGGUGGCGACGAGAAGGUGGCCGGUGAGGGCCAUUGCGGUACGUGAAGAAGAGGUGGAUUCAAGAUGCGAGGGAAGGAAUACUGAAGAUUCUGUUUGUGUUUGGAAUGGUGGGUUGAGGCUUGGGCUAUUUAUAGAGUUUUCCCUGCAGUAAUCGUCUCGACACAGUCUCAGAAUUCCGUGCGGUUUUCGUCGAGCUCUCAGUUGUUGACCAGCAGCGCGACGUUCAAACUAUAUUCUUAGUCGGACUGCGUUCAUGCACGCAUUGAAGAAUCCCAUCUUCCGUAAUACUCGUCUGGAAUCUUGGACUUUGAAGGCUACGUGGCAACUUGACUAUUAUGUUCAUAUCGCACCCAGUUUUUUACGGCAAAUUGAUAGGAGUGACAAACAAGGAAUGUCCUAUUUGAUGGGUAUUGCAAUUGGAGAGUGGCCAUCUCAAGGAGACCUUGAAAUGGACAAAGAAGUCGGCAAAAUAUCUUCUUGGACACCUGCCGCGAAUGAAGAUGAGACGACCCUUGGGGUUUAUUUUUAAAUCCUACGACCGUAUGGCUGGCUUAGAAAACUUCAUGUGAAACGAAACCAGGAAUACUGCAAGAAUAAAUGUCAGGUCCACCUCGCCACCGAGAAGGUCAGAUAAUCCAAACUCAAGCUGGAGGUCUUCAAAUCCAAUUCACCCACACCAGCCUACUCUGGAAGCCAGUUUCCACGUGGGCCUUGUAAUCAAGAGUUGCGAAAUGAAGGAAUCCCACUCAGACCAUAAUUGAGGCGGAGAGGAACAAUAUGAUAAGUCUAAACAUACCAAGAGCCCCUUCCCCCCUUCCGUACCACCACAGCAAACUCUUUCUUUCCAUUACCAGUACUUUACGUUCCACAUGGUUGCCAACCUCAAGUUCCUUUUUGUCACCGCGGCCGUCGUGGUUCUACUGCUGGCUCUCCGCAGUUCCCCAGCGGAGGCCAGCCAGCUGAACAUGUACGAAGGCCGCGAACUCACCGGCCGGUGGACGCCUUGCUGGGAUCGCCAGUGAUGAAUGUCACCUACACCGGAAGCCAUCGCAUCUACUUCGACGGCUGGCCCGCCUACCUCUACAGGCGUAACCGUGCAUGCAAUGGAAACCCCGAGGCCGUUCUCAGGGCAGCCUGGAAUGCAGAACGCCUUCCCCUACCAGAGCAUCAAGCAAACGGACACCGCUCGUUAACGCCUGAACGCCGUCACACGAUUCUAGUUUUGAGAAUUUGACGCAGCUUUGAUAAAUAAAUAGAGAACACGAGAUGGCUUGUACUCUGUCCUCACGUGAAGACUGGGCUUCCUUCCCACAUCCCUCAAAUAUAAUAGCCUUUUGAAACAUGAGUUCAAAGGCCACUUUCUUUCCCUCUGUAUUUAUCUUUAUUCCCCUAUAGAGUUACUCAACAAUUAUUGUAUUCUCGUGUAAGAUCAUUAUGCUAGAAGAAACCUUUAUCAAUUUUUAAGUCAGUCAUUAUUUUAAUCCAGAUUAGAUCUUAUCUAUCUUUGAUCCCGUCAAGUUAAUUUUUAGCAUUCACUGCUGUCAAGAAAUGGUUAUAUAAGAUUUAAUUCUAGGUUCUUUGUGGAAAUGAAAUCCCGUAAAAUCCAUAAAAGUACCUGCAGUAUUUAAUUUAGGCUAAAUUUGUAAACAAAAAUCAAUAAUGGAAGAUGUAUACAGAGUUUAGUCAAUAGUGAAGGUUAAAGGACGGUGUAAUCUUCGGUACUUUCAUAAUCUCUUAACCAUCGUGUUUUCGGUUCCUCAUAACUGGAGAAAGUGCAGAAAUGGGCUUCAACGUCAAAUUUAAAAAGACGGCAACAACACGUGAGAUUAGCAACUCGGAUGAUCAUAAAGGGAGAACCCAGUCAGUCCAUUGAAAAAUACCAUUCGAUAAAAAACACAAAUAUUAUAACGCCUUCCCAACCAUUAGUCUUUGUUCCGCACUUCUGACAGCUUAUCAGGACGGAUAUAAAAAUUAAAAACAGAUUUGGAAAAAAUAGUGCGAAAUGGUUUGUCAUUAGCAGAUAAUCUAGUGAUCAAUGCGUGCAAACCUGCGAUGUCUUGUGAAAAUCAAACAAGUUACUUCGGAAAUGAAACAAGAUGGUAACAAUGACGACCGUAGGUUUCAACUCCAACUGCUUGUUGUUCUGCAUUCAUUAAUUUGAAUGGAGCCUGACAAUGUACUUUGCUAGUUUCGAAUGGUCGCAUAUGCAUUAAUAUGCUUGAUGACGUAGCCUAAAUAACAGCACCAUGUUCAUAUAGAAAAGUUUUACGUAAUCCCUAUUAUGAUCUGAAUGUACGGCGUCGAGUUUUCACAAAGUUAUAAACGUGUAUGACGGAAUAUUUUUUCGGACAGCGAAUGGAUAUAUGAAUAGAUUCAUAAUUUCUGUUAAGAAUGAAAAAUUAACCAAACGUUUGAUCUAUGAUUUCCAUGUGAAGCAGACCUCUUGAUAUUCAUGACAGAGAUGACAACGGAAUUUGAUGGCUCUUUAAAGUUGGAAAGAAGUUCGAUUUUGCUUGUUUGGGUCAAUCGUAAGACAUAGGGCUAAGGAAAAUAAAUGUUUGCAGUUUCUCAAUGUGUCCCAAAUAUCUAGGUUGUGUUACCGAUUGAAGAAAUUUAAAAUUCAAACAUUUACAUUACUCUGGUAUGUUGAGAGGAUCUGAAGAAAAUCAAAAGCCAUGUAGAUAUCUUAGGAAAGAGGGCUCUAAAAUAAGGAAAUGUGAAAUGCAGGUUUAGAAUAAUACAAGGACAGCUAAAAGUCUCUAAACGAGAAACGAAUAGACCUAAUUAAGCGUCAAGGAAGGAACUGAUCUAUAUCACUUCAAUAAAAGGUGCCGUAUGGAAGUUGUCCGGUGUGGAGAGGAUCUGUAGCAAUAAUAAAUUAAAUACAAGAAACUUCAGGAAUGUUAGAGGCCUUGCAUGUGCUGAGUAGUGGAUAAUCUUCACACAUUCAUGCUUUCAAAUGCAUAUGUUUACUUAGAAAUAACAUAGGACCAUUUCAGAUCACUCAUUUAAAAAGAAUUUCAAGAUAGAUAUUUGAUAAUCACCUCAUUAGUUUAAGUAUCUUUGUGUUGCCAUGUUUGUAUCUUUAAGAUAAAUAUCUAGCAAAUAUACAAAUAUAUCCACACCUAUAUCUAGGAUAAAUUAUCAUCUAGGAAUAAAGGUUUUUGUUUAAAUUUUAACAUAUCAACCAUCUAUGACACUAUAUACAAGUUCAGAUGACAUAGCAUGUCAUGAGAAGUGUGGACAGCCAUGGACAUCUUAAAAAUAGAGUAUUUUAUUAAGCCCAACAUUUGAGGAUGCAUAAGUGCCCAGUAAUAGUUGAGCAAUCAUAGAUUAUGCCCAAUGAAUGAUAAUAAUGUAAUAUUUCUUUGUAUAUAUGAUACAAACAUGGAAAACAAAGUAGAUGAACUUAGGUCUCACAAAGUCUAAAUGCAAAUAUGAUAAUGGCUCUAGACAUCAUAUGAGACCAGUAAAUGUAAUAUAUCACUUUAGCUAAUGGAGUAUAUAACAAUAGAUAUUGUCCUAUGCUAGUGAGUAAAAUGUGCAUACACAAAUAUAGUUCUUGUAUAUCAUUAAUUAACACAUGUCAAGGCGUGAACAAUACAUAAAUACAUCUAAAUACUAUAGAAUAUAAAAUUUUAAAUGAGAUGAUAUGUGUGCUGUCUUUGUAGCCCUCCUCUUUUUCCUCACUUUCACUCUUCUCUUCCCCCUCAUGCUCUCCUCAUCUUUGCCCAUCCUGAUGUAUCAUUCCCUCUACUUGCUUCAUUUAACACUUUGUAUGCCCUUGCUUGUAUGAUAACUUGUGAAAAUUGCAUAUAAUUAAUGAUCAUAUUUGUGAGAUGAAUACAUAUUUUAUAUGUAUUUCAAAAGUUAUCAUGAUAAUUUAGUUAAUAUGUCAUUAGCAUGAAUUACCCUAGAUUUUGAUAUAAAAUGAAAUUUUAUAAUUAAAAAAAUCUUAAUGAGAGUCAAUUUUAUAAUGAAAUAAUAUUUUUCAUGCAUAUAUCUUAUUGUCUAUUGUCACGUGUGAAAAUAAGAAAAAUUUUAAAAAAUGUCCAACUCAGAAAAAUGUGGAUUGAAAAUAGCAAGUCAAAAUAGGAAACAUGGUUUUUAGAUCUAGGAAAAAAAAAGGAUGGAAGAGGGGGCGUUCUUUUUUAUAGUUUGUUUUUUUUCGUGUUCAAGGCUUAGAGAGAUUCUUCUCAUUUUUCCUUUUAUUCUGAUAGAAAACCUAAUGUAUGAGAGGAUUUCUCUCUUUUCCUCAACAUCAAUUACCCAAGAUCUAUUUUUUCAAACUAGAUGUAGGUUGAGAAUCAACCCUAAGGUCGAGAAGGAUUCAAAGAUACUAAGGGUUGUAAGCCUUUAUUAUUUUUAAUUUACUUUCAUUUAUUUUUAUCAAAAUAUAAAUAUUUUCCUCCUCCUUCCCAAAUUUAUUUACUUACUACAUUAUUUAUUUUGUGAAAAAUUUUAUUUAUCUUUAACCUAAUUUCAUUUAGACUCGUUUUACUUGGCUUUCCUUUUAUUUAGUUUUAAUCAUCAUUCUCAUCAGUAUUUUAUCACAUUAAUAUAGAUAAUAUGGAAAAUUUUAUUUUCGAUAGAGGAUUAAAUCCUUUCCUUUGAUUCCUUCCCUAAGGAGACGACCUGAUUCACUAUUAAUACUAAUUUUAGUUUUUUUCGCUGAACUUAGUUCUAUAAAUAUUUAUAAUUAAUUAGUGAUCUUCAUGAUGACAAUUCCUUUCAUAAUUUCAUCAUGAAAGAAUAUAGAAAUGACUUUUUACACUGGUUAUAAUAUAUUUUCAUAUUUUCAUAAAUAUAUUUCUCUUUGCAUUUCUCUCUCUUCUCUCUAAAUCCUUUCCUAUGGGACAGGCAUGAAAAUAUUCACACCUCUUUCUCAAUAUUCACAUCUCUUCUCCGUUCUACAUUAUUUGCUGAUAAUAUGGCAUGCCUACUCCCACUUUGAUAAGUAUCCCACAUCGGUCUAUGUAGGCACUCAUGGAACAUUCCAUACCAAACUUAUGCCUUGCUGAUAAUUCUAAAUAAUUUCCUGAAAAUAUCCCUAUUGCUUAAGUGAUUUAUAAUUAAUUUAAAUUAAAAGACUUUCAAAUUACUUGAAUUUAUUAAAAUUAGGUUGUGAACUAAUAUAUGAUUUUAACAUUAAUUGCUCCAAGCUACAUACUGAAAUUAAUCAUGAAAUAUGAUCAGAUAUUUUCUCAAUUUUUAAAAGUAUUUUUAGAAUAUUUUUAAAUUAAUUUUUGUUUUAUUAAACUAUUAAGGAGAUUCUAGAAAUAUGGAAUUCAGAUAAAUUGAUAAAAAUCCCAACAAGUAAGAAAAAGUCGUGUUGGAAGAUCAAUUUAUCAGAUUUAAGGACAAAUCUCAUCGAUGACCCCACUGGCCAUCUCUUCUUUAAACUUUAAUGACUAUUUUAUUUUUUUAUCGAUAAAAAGCUUCAAUCAAUCAUCUAUUGUGUUAUUAACAAAAAGACUUUUGAUAGUAAAUUUUUGAUUUGGAUGAUUUCAGAUUCGAUUUUGUACACUCAGACCAACAUAUUUCGGUCAAUUUUAAAUUUGGGCCUUUUCUUUGUAGCUAGGCAUCAACUAACGUCAUCAACCCUAUAUUCAUAUCUUUUUAUAUUUUGCUUACUUUUGCAUGAUAAUAGUUUCUAAAAUAUUAAUCUAUCAACUUAUAACUGUAGAUAAUUAAAUAAUUUUCGUCUUUCCUCUAUAAACCGAGUAUCAGAUUACUUAUUCCUCAAAUUAGUUUGUUUUCUAGAGCUUAUAAAGUUUAAGUUUUUAAAAUUUUUGUAGCAACAAUAGAAAAUAGUCAGACACUCGACAAGCAAGUGGGCCAACUCCACUAAAUAAGGCAAGAUUUCACCUUAUAACUCAUGUUGUAGAAGGCUAUUACAUUUGAGGGAUGUGGGAAGGGAGACAUUCUUCUCAUGAGAACACGAUACAAGCCAUCUCGUCUUCUCUAUUUAUUUAUCAAAGCUGCGUCGAAUUCCCAAUACUAAAAUCUUGAGAUGGUGUUCACGCUUUAAGGAGCAGUAUCCGUUUGCUUGAUGCUCUGGUAGGGGAACCCGUUCGUGCAUUCAACGCUGCUCCUGAGAACGGCGUCGGGGUUUCCAUUGCAUGCACGGUUACCCCUGUAGAGGUAGGCGGGCCAGCCAUCGUUGUAGUAGAAACGGUAGCUUCCGGUGUAGGUGACGUUGCAGCAUUGGCGAUCCCAGCAAGGCGUCCACCGCCCGGUGCAGCCGGGGCCUUCGUACAUGUUCAGCUGGCUGGCCUCCGCUGGCGAGGCAUAGAAAACAAGCAGCACAGCCACGGCGGCUGCAGUGGCGACGAGGAGGUGGCGGGUGGGGUUCAUUGGAGUACCUGAAGGACCGGUGGAUUCAAUAGUAAAGGGAAGGCUGAAGAUUCUGUUCGGGUUGGGGAUGGUGGGUUGAUGUUUCGGCUAUUUAUGGACAUUUCCCUGCGCUAGUCGUCUCCACAUGGUCUGUGAAUUGCGUGCUUCUGUUUUCGAGCUAGAAUGAUUGACCACGAGCGCAACGUUGAAACUGAAUUCUUUGACGAAUCCCUUAUUCCGUCAUAUUCGUUCAGAAUCUUUGUCUUUGAAGGCUGCGAGGGUGACUUGCCGAAUAUGUUCUGACGCAUUAAAAAUGAAUGGCAUAGAAAGAAGGCACUUUCUGAUGUGCCAUUGUAAUGGGAUACUGGGAUCGCAAGGUGUUCUUCAAAACAGGUGGAGAGGUUGACAAAACAACUUCUCCGGCACCUCCCCGGAAUGAAGACGGGACGAACCUUGGGGGUUUAUUUUUUACUCCUAGAACCGUAUGGACGGCUUAGAAUAAUGUCAUGUGAAACGAAACCAGGAAUCCUGCAAGAAUAAACGUCAGGUCCACCUAGCCGCCGAGAAGGCCGGAUAUUGCCAAUCCAAGCCGGACGUCUUCAAACCCAAUUCAUCCACACAAGCGUAGUCAGGAAGCCAGUUUCCACGUGGCCGCUGUCGUCAAGAGUUGCGAAGUCGAAGAAUCCCACUCAGACCAUAAUUGUGGUGGAGAGGAACAAUAUGAUAGCAAGUCUACAAAUAUCAAGAGCCCCUUUCCCGCUUUCCUACCGCCGGAACAAACUCUUCCUUUCAUUCCCAGUACUUCUUUACGUUCCCACAUGACUGCCAACAUCAGGUUCCUUGUUGCCACAGCGGCCGCCGUGGUUCUGCUGCUGGCUCUCCCCGAUUCCCCAGCGGAGGCCAGCCAGCUGAACAUGUACGAAGGCCCCGGCUGCACCGGCCGGUGGACACCUUGCUGGGAUCGCCAGUGCUGCAACGUCACCUACACCAGCAGCUACCGUUUCUACUACAACGACGGCUGGCCCGCCUAUCUCUACAGGGGUAACCGUGCAUGCAAUGGAAACCCCGACGCCGUUCUCAGGAGCAGCGUGGAAUGCACGGACGGCUUCCCCUACCAGAGCAUCAAGCAAACGGACACUGCUCCUUAAAGCGUGAACACCAUCACAAGAUUUUAUUUUUGAGAAUUCGACGCAGCUUUGAUAAAUAAAUAAAGAAAGCUGGUAAAGAAAACAGAUGAAUUAGAGUCUGUUCUUACGUCAUGCGUUGUCAUCGAACUGUGUACAUUCCAUUGCUUUCUACUGGGGUCGUCUUGUGCAUGUCCCUGGUUCCGGUCGCGCCUCUUUUGCGUUAGAGCGGGUUUACCUAAAAUAAAUCAAAUAUCGUAUUCGUCCUUUUUCUCUCUUUCUCUCUAUGUCAUUAUCUCUCACGCUCGUACUCCAUAUGAGCCCAAUACCAUACAAGUCUUAAGCACGAUUUUUCUACUAACCGAUCUACAUAAAUGACUGAGAGUCGGGGUGGCUAAAUGCGAGAAAACCCCACCUAUUUUUAUAGAAUGGAAUAUAAUAUUUAGAGAGAAUUAAGGGAUGGUUAAAUGCGAGGAAACCACACUUAUUUCUAUAGAAUGGAACAGAAUAUAUAGAAAGCAUCAAGGGAUAGACGCAUCAAUGAAACUUGCCCAAGAAAACGACGGUCAACUGAUGUAACCUGUUAAAAAGUAGUGUCUCUGUCGUAAUUAAGAUUAUCAAUGAUUAACAGAUGCAUUCGCGAAAGAAAGGAAAGACGGUUUGUAUGACUAUUUGAUUGUGUACUUCACGAUGCAUUUUGUGAAAAAAAAGUAUAUCCGUUUUUGUGAAAAUUUCUCCUGCUAUGCAACGAAAAUGGUCGAUAGGCAAGCAUCUGUGGCUGCUAAACAGUUCAUCUCAUCCCAUUGUCGUUUCGCCUACCUUCACUUCAUUAAAAUUUUUCUUUCUCCUGAAGCUGUACUUAAUUUUAAACAAUAAUAAUUUUUAUAACUUAGAAAACAUUAAUGGAUUUUUCUUAGAGUAUUAAGGAAGUUUUCCGGACAGAAAAUACUAGACGAGUAAACUCAUGUGGUUCGACAGAAUUUAGAGGAUGAUUUUGCGUUCUGACAUGUUUGGACAAAUACACUGUGUAUAAUGUUUAUCCAUUAAGAUUUUCCAUAAAGUAUGAAGGCUGGAGUGGAUAUGCCAUAGCGACUGGUAGCGUACUUCAUCUUAAAUGAAUGAAAUCACGAGAAUUCUAAAAUAUUAAAUGUAUGGUGCAUAGAUCACUCUACAGACGGAUGAUUUGUUUGGCGUGGAACCUGUGUUUCGACAAGCCCUCGGAGCUUACCGUAGAAAGUAACGUAAUAACUGGACAACUUUCUCUUGGAAUAGUCAAUGUAAAGAAAAUAAGAAACAAUUAAAGAAAGUAAGAAAGUUUGAUAGUUUUUUCUUGUAAUAACCCAAUUCUGUAAGAACCGCUAUAAAAAUCUAGAAAAAAUAGAAUAUUAAAAAAAAAUUUGUAAUAAAGUCCUAUCAUAUUAUUUUGUUGAUUGGAGUUUCCAAUAACCACUAAAGGAACCUAUUUACUGUACGCUCUAAUGGUCAUAUUUCUUUGUAAUGUUUUAUUAUUAACAUUUUACUCUAUUACACCAGAAUUUAAAAAAUGACGCAUCUUUAUUUGAAACAGUCAGUCACACAGUAUUUUUUAUUUUAAAAAUGAUUUAAAAACUGAUAUAAUUUCAUUACUGGAUAUUAACAUCAAACUGCACUACGUCCACAGACUAGAAGGGAAAGGGAAGAGGGAAAGACUGCCGUUAAAAUGGCCUAAGCAAGGUUAAUAAGAAGAGAGGCGGAACUAAGGCCUUUAGCAGUUUUGAAGAAUUCAUAACAGUGCUCUUUUUAAAAUUCAAUGGAGGUUGUUUCUUCGUCAUUUAUGUUUUAACCUAACGGUUCUGUAUAGAAGACUGAACUGCGAUCAACCGAGUUAAUCAUCUAAAAUGCAUACUUUGCGUGUGGUUGGCUUCCUGAAACUUUUUUCUACAGAUCCUAUGUCGGCACUACCGGGUUUGUCAUGUUCUGAGGAAUCAAAAUUAGUAUCGUAAAAAGAUUAUUAAAAUUCUACAGGAUAUAUUGUCCUUUAACUUUACCAUUGGCUAAAUUUUAUAUGUAUCUUCCAUUAUUGAUUUUUAGAAACAUUAUAAGGCGCAGAAAUUUAAGACUGCAUUCAUCAGUGCGAUGAAAAGGAUCCUGCAAUAUUUCAUCGCCAUAAGGAAAUAAUAUUACACGUUCUCAAAGGAUUUUGAUAUCAACAGGGAAUGCUGAAAUUCCACUGCACACGAUCAAAGACUAAGAACAGUUAAGAUCGUUAUAAAUAACGCAGGCUCAAACACUGACAAAGGUUUCCUCCAUGCAUAAUGGUCUAAUCCGUUGAUCCAGUCGUCAUCGAGUACGUCUAGAAGGAAACACAGGAAAAUAGGGAGGGAGUGACAAAGAGUGAGACAUGGGCCUGGAAUAGCCAUCCACGCAACACUGAAGAAACUAGUUGUGUCUUCAUUUUUAUCCUUUAGUAAGUACGAAGCCCAAGAGACACAUCUAUAAACUCCAACAGGAGAUUAUUAACCUAACAGACUCAAGAAACAUACAUCCACAAAGCUACUGGCAGCGAAAGAUAGAAGAGGCACUCUAGAAUGCGACACGCAUCACGUGAGGAGACAUUUCAGGGGUCUCCUUGAUUUCCACUUUUCUAUGAUUUAUUUUGAUGAACUGGGUGGGCCUCCUUCCAAAACUGGUAUCCUAUGAUGAUCUCACCACUUUUAAGGAGCAGUGUCAGUUUGCUUGAUGCUCUGGUAGGGGAAGCCAUUAGUGCAGUCCACGUUGCUCCUGAGGACUAGGUCGGGAUUCCCGUUGCAUACGCGGUUACCUCUGUAGAUGUAGGCGGGCCAGCCGUCGUUGUAGUAAAAGCGGUAGCUUCCUGUGUAGGUGACGUUGCAGCACU